UGGCAUUACCGCAUUGUUUUGCUGUAGCUUUCUUGCUUGUUAAUUUUGUUGAAAAUAUUGGGAAUGUAGUCGAAUAUUUAUAUGAAAAAUACUGCAUUUGGUAUUUUUAUGGUAUAUUUUAACGGCAAUACCGAUUUUUUUUGCAGUUUUUGAAUGCUGUAGCGUUUUUAUUUCUCAGUGUUGGUAAACAUGUUUAAAAUGUUGUCGAAUUUGUACAUGAUAAAUACUGCAUUUAGUAUUUUUGCAGUAUAUUUUGGUUUUAUUAAAAGCUGUAGCCUUCUUACUUGCUAUUGUUGGUAAAAAUGUUUGGAAUUUAGUAGAAUAUUAAUAUGGGAUAUACUGAGUUUGGUAUUUUUGUAGUAUAUUUUACCGGCAAAGCUGUUUCAUUCAUGUCUGGUUGUUUUAUCUUGCAUUAUCCUUUGUUGCAUUAAUAUCAGCCGCAUCUGUUGCGUAACUAUGCAUAGUAUUUAUAGAUCUAUACUAUAUAUGGGAACGUGAUGAUUAACACAGCUCAGACAGCUGAGAGUACGUGCCUGGGCGCAUUACGAGUAUUCACAUGACUUAUUCGCAUCGCAUUGCAUUGCAUUUUCAUUCAUAAAUUUCGCACAGAGUGAAAUGAAAUGAAUUCUCUGGCCUGCUGCAGUCAAUGACCAGGCAGAUGAGCAGAUGAUUUCCACUCACAAAUCGCUCUAUAUAGUAUAGUAUUCGAUUAUAUACUUAUUCUAUGUAUAAGUAUAUUUUAUUUUUGUUCUGUGUACCUGUGUUCCUGAUUCUCUUGUUGUGUUGCUCACGAUGAUCAUCAAGAUGAUAUUGUUAUUUUUAUUGUAAUCAUUGUGUGUGUGUGUGUGUUUUUUACUUAUAGAAUAAUAAACACAACUGUGAACUUCCUGGGCCUAUCUCAGUCAUCAAAAUGUCACCUCGCAGAGCAAAACAAGUUUAACAAAUUGUCCACAAUAAAAGCAGCUCUAUUGUUUGACCUAGAAAACUACUGUUAAUGGGGUCGAUAUGAGACAAGAGAAGUCAAAACUUAAGAAUACAUAAUAUUCGCAUGAUAAUUCCAUAAUCAAAAACAAAAACGAAUGCGAAGCGUGUUUAUCACGUUAAGUUUUCAAGUCUUUCAAUUUCUGCAAGUCUUGUAUUAUAUUUUUUUAUGUUUCGUUUUCAUUUUCUUUGUAUUCGGAAAUGGCUUUCAAUGCAGUUGUUAUCUUCUUGUUUGGGUCUGCAAGUUUUCAGACCUUCAACGCGGGUUUCAAGCUCAAGCAUAAUCAGCAAUUUCAAAAUACAAGUAAAAAGCCAAAACAAAAAAUAAAGAAAUAUAUAAAUUUAUAUAUGUAUGCAGCAGUUGGCCGUGAUGUUGUGUUGUAAAGAUUGUGAUGAUGUUUUGUUUUUUUUCGCAAAAACAAAUAAGUAACAUUAUGGCCAACAAUUACAGCUGCACAAAAUGAUAUAGGAGUGCAACAAAAAAAAAAAGUGACGCAAAUUGACUCUUCACAGAAAAGAAAAAAUAAAAAUGGGAGCGAAAUGCAACCGAGAAUCUUCUGUUUUAAGCUUAUCAGCUUAUCAAGCGAGAGAGCUUACUAGCCUUAUAAAUUAUACUUAUACUGACAUAUAUGAUGAGUAUUAUAGUAAGCAGACUUCCGAGGAACUGUUGCCGGGCAGAUGAAUCAAUUGCAUCUGGCAGCUUAUCAGCUGAGCUGCACAUGACGAUGAUAAUGACGAUGCUCAAAUGAGUUGCAACGACAUCUCAAGUGAAAAGUUUUUCUCCAACUAUGCCAUAAAACAUCAACAAAAACAAAAGAAAAACA